rnacentral:lncRNA from 1 species
GAAUUUGAAGGUUUAAUUAUCAACAUGUGAACACUGGGAGAAACCAUAUCAGGCAUCAUGGAACAGUGUGUCCCUGUUUCUGAUUCCAAAGGGAUUCUAAUUUGAUUUCCAAAGUCCAGCUUAGAGGAACAUCAAAAUCUGCUGGGAAAGGGAAUCCCCAGCUGACCAGAGGCAAGAAGCCCAGUGACAGCUGCCUUGCCCUGCCAGAGGACGUUUCUGAUGAAAGCCCCAUGUACUGUCUCAAGCUGCAGGAGUUUCUCAGGAGAAAUAGGCUGCCCUCUAUAUGUGUACCACAUGGCCUAGAUGUGCAUUUGGCUACCGCCCCAGGCAUUCUGUGAUGUCUGCGGGAUCAAGUCACCUAAGGAUGGAUGUGUCUCUCAGAGCACUUUCCCUUGGGUGAGCAAAGCAUGGCUGUGCUUCACAGGGGUGUUCUGAGGAUGAGAAGCAGCUCCAACCUUAGUGGAGCAGAAUCUUAUAAUAGUGAGACUGAGAAGAGAGAAGAGAAGCAUAUGGUUGGCAAAGGAAAAGGAACCCCUAAUUUCCACUGCAGGUGGUUACCCUGCCAAGACAGGAGGAUAAAUGAUGAUUGUGUCAGACUAAGCAGUUUAAAUACUGCAAAAAGAUGGUUUUUGCGACCAAGAAUGAAGGAAUGCUAUCCUCUAAGAAUGACUACAAAAAAAAUUUGGAGUCUGUCCUACAUUUUCUCCAGGAGCCAGAAAUGAACUUGCCUCAAAGGCUAAAACACAGAUAAAAAUAAAUUCUCAGUCUGAU